UCCCGCAGUGGGAAUAUUUGUUAAAGAUUCAUCGCUGAUAGAUAGGCAUGCGUUCCAUUAGGCAGUGGCGGGUAACGCCCACCAAACCGACGAUGGAUAGGGGUUCUGAGAGGAAGGUCCCCCACAUUGGUACUGAGACACGGACCAAACUCCUACGGGAGGCAGCAGUGAGGAAUAUUGGUCAAUGGACGAGAGUCUGAACCAGCCAAGUAGCGUGCAGGAUGACGGCCCUAUGGGUUGUAAACUGCUUUUAUAAGGGAAUAAAGUGAGUCUCGUGAGGCUUUUUGCAUGUACCUUAUGAAUAAGGACCGGCUAAUUCCGUG
rnacentral:rRNA from 1 species